rnacentral:rRNA from 1 species
GACAGAGGCCCCGAGCGUUAAUCGGAAUCACUGGGCUUAAAGGGUGCGUAGGCUGAUCCGAAAGUGCUUCGUGAAAUCCCCCGGCUCAACCGGGGAACAGCGGGGCAUACUGCGGAUCUUGAGGCAGGUAGGCGCCGAGGGAACAGUAGGUGGAGCGGUGAAAUGCGUAGAUAUCUACUGGAACGCCGAUGGUGAAGACGCUCGGCUGGGCCUGUCCUGACGCUGAGACACGAAAGCCAGGGGAGCGAACGGG